AGGCAAGGGCACCUCUGGGCAAGCAUGGUCUUUGGUGUGCUGCCAAGCUGACUGUCCUGAGUGUGACAAAGCAAGGGAGGGGCCCAGGGGGCCCCAGUCAAUGAGAAACAGAUCUGCCCUAAAAAUAACAGUGAAUGAACAGGCUUGCUUACACUGUCUUGCUUCAGAGCUGGUUUGGCACAAAAUCAGACCUAAUGAUAGGUUCAGAAGGAAAAAUUCAUGGUUGGGAUUUGGAAUCCUUUGAGCCAACCAGUUAUCCACAAACAAGUCCACAGCUCUUCCUCUGGGUUUCCCAGAAGGCCUUCCAGGACAGGUCUCUUGUCAUCAUGGAGGACUCCACAGUCCUAUCUGGAGUCGCCUACUCCGGAGUGGAGAGAUGGAGAAGACUAAUCUUCAUAAAAUCAACCAACAGCAGCAGUGAUGGCUGAUGACAGCAUGAAGAAGAAUUCUUCCUGUUGGAGCCAUUGAUCAUCUAUUCCCAUGACCAAUUGUGUGUUCCUAUUACUGUAACAAAAUACCUGAAGCUGGGUACUUAUAAGAAAAGAGAUGAGGUCAUCCAAAUAUCUCUGGAGCCAGCUGCCACCAGUCAGAGCUUUGGAUGUCUGCUUUGCAAUCCCUGCUGACCCACCACACUCAUUCACUUGGAAAGUCCCGCCUCUGGCAAAGAGCUGCCCUUGAAGUAGGUACUUCAAAGGGGCCACGGGCUACUGGAAAGCCUUCAGAUCUCUUAUCUGAGGAGCAGUAAAUGCAGUGAGACCACAAGCCUUUGGAGUUUCUGAAGACACCACAUGAAGUUAACAGAUUGAGCUAAUGAACCCAAGAGGAAGAAGGAACACGUGAACUGGAAAUAUUCAGCUGAAAUGAAUUGGUAUUUCAAAGCACAAAGCUCCUGGGAGAUGCUCUUCUGAACAGGAGGA